UACGGAGGAUGCGAGCGUUAUCCGGAUUUAUUGGGUUUAAAGGGUGCGCAGGCGGGCUUUUAAGUCAGCGGUGAAAUCUCGGGGCUUAACUCCGAAACUGCCGUUGAAACUGGGAGUCUUGAGUAUGGAUGAAGUAGGCGGAAUUCGUUGUGUAGCGGUGACAUGCUUAGAUAUAACGAGGAACUCCGAUUGCGUAGGCAGCUUACUAAGCCAUAACUGACGCUCAAGCACGAAAGCGUGGGGAUCAAACAGGAUUAGAUACCCUGGUAGUCCACGCCGUAAACGAUGAUUACUAGUUGUAUGCGAUAUACCGUAUGUGACUAAGCGAAAGCGAUAAGUAAUCCACCUGGGGAGUACGCCGGCAACGGUGAA
rnacentral:rRNA from 1 species